GACGAACGCUGGCGGCGUGCCUAAUACAUGCAAGUUGAGCGCUGAAGGUUGGUACUUGUACCAACUGGAUGAGCAGCGAACGGGUGAGUAACGCGUGGGGAAUCUGCCUUUGAGCGGGGGACAACAUUUGGAAACGAAUGCUAAUACCGCAUAAAAACUUUAAACACAAGUUUUAAGUUUGAAAGAUGCAAUUGCAUCACUCAAAGAUGAUCCCGCGUUGUAUUAGCUAGUUGGUGAGGUAAAGGCUCACCAAGGCGAUGAUACAUAGCCGACCUGAGAGGGUGAUCGGCCACAUUGGGACUGAGACACGGCCCAAACUCCUACGGGAGGCAGCAGUAGGGAAUCUUCGGCAAUGGACGAAAGUCUGACCGAGCAACGCCGCGUGAGUGAAGAAGGUUUUCGGAUCGUAAAACUCUGUUGGUAGAGAAGAACGUUGGUGAGAGUCGAAAGCUCAUCAAGUGACGGUAACUACCCAGAAAGGGACGGCUAACUACGUG
rnacentral:rRNA from 1 species